CUGAGAGGAAUCUUAAGCAGGAUUCCGGCUAGAAUGUGUUUUCCUUCUUCCCGCUCAUGCUGCUGGGAUCCGGGCUAUUCCCUGUGUCAGCGUCUGUGCUGAGUGUUUUUUUAACCAGUUGGGAAAGGAGGGAAGAACGUUCUCAGAUUUCACUCCAACACUGCUCCCUCUGGAACGUGGCGGCUUUUACUUUGAAGGAGUUUUUCUUUUAUUUUCUGGAUGCUCGUGCCGCAGGAGAGACGGAGUCAUGGCGACCUGAGGAUUAAAUCAGUUUAUCCGAGAGGAUGAGGAUCGAUCGGGAUUGUUCACCCCCCCAAGUCCACCUAGGAGCUAGACAUUAGUGACCCAAGGGCUUUUAGCUUUUAUGUUUAUAGAAGAAUGGCUGAACCAGCUGUUUGUGUGUGUGAGAUCUGGGCUCAGGUGGGAUAAAUGAGCACCCGAUGCACUGGAGAGGAAUGAUCCCGACCUGGGAAAACCAACAUGAACUGGCAACUGUGGUUGAAACUCUGCUCUGGUCAAAAAGGGAUUCUCCUCCUUUCUGCCCUCAUCCUCCUCCUUCUCAUGGUUUUUAUAAUGACGGUCACGUUGCCCCUUCCUUUGCCUCCUCUGAAUGAGGAACAGAGAUUGUCCCAAGCUCUGAGCUCUGCAGAGCUCAGAUCUAAACCUGGAAUCGUGCAGCCCCUUCCGGCUGCAGCCUUGCAGCCUCCUGCUCACUAUCAUGGCAGAAGAACGCUGCCUGAAGAUGGAGUAUCUAAACAUUCAGUGCAGCAUGGACCUUUGAGGAAUGCUGCUGGCUAUGAGAAAAAUAGUCUGAAAGCCAGAAGUGACCAAAGCAAAGGCUUUGCCUCCAAGAGAAGGACGGCUGGCUCCAUCCGGCCAUCGAGCCAUCAUCAUUAUCCUCAGCUGCCAGACUUUACAGUCAACAGCACAGAGCUGAAGCAUAGCAUUAAACCAAGCAGCCACAGUGAUGUGGUGAAGCAACCCACGGCACACACACACAUUUAUCCUGAAAGGAUAAGAGCACACAACCCAGACAGAGGAGCUGCGCAUGCCCAGAAAGGCAGACACACAAACAGGAAUGCCGACACACAACUGAGCAGCAGCCUCGCGAGGGUAAAGCUACAACAGCAGCAGCUCUUGCAGAAACCCACACAAGCUCCAAAAGCCUCUGGGAAGCUUGAUGGUGUGGAUAAGGAGCAGCUUCCAGGGAAAAGGCUCACCCGCGAGCACAAACAGCUACUUAAUGUCUCAGGAAAUCUUCCUAAAGCAAAGUGGAAUCCUGGACCAUCAGAGCAUGGAGAGGCUUUGUCCCAACCUGUGAAGCCCAAUCACAAGCAUGUGUGCGAGAGCUUCAGAGGGCAGGACUUCCCAGACAGCGAUGACAGGAAGAUCAGAGUCCGCCCACACCAGCCUCCUUCAUGGUUCAGCAACGACGAUAUUGAAAAGAUGGAGCUGCUGUCUGGGGGUGACGUCAUCAGUAAGGCCCGGGUGCCUGCACAUGGACAGGUGCUCCAGGUGGCCUUGAAUCCUCCUGCGCAGCGCCAGGUGAGACAAGCAGGAGGUGUCUCCACCCACAGGGGGCACUGCCAGCAGGGCUGCUGCUCCCUGAUCAAGCGUACUGAGGACUGGUUUGAGGUGUUUGCCUUCCACCUGGACCGGGUGCUGGGAAUCAACAGGAGUCUGCCUGCUGUUCUACGGAUGUUCCACAGCGAUGUUCUACCCUACCGCUUCACCAGGGGCUCCCCGAGGCCUGUAGUGUGGUGGGAUCCUGACAUUCAGCAUCUCGCCGACAACGACAACGACCAGAACUCUGUACCACUCGGCUGGGUCCAGUACCAGAAGCUGCUACAGGCAAGGUGUGAGAACGGGACAGAGCUGAGGUCAGACCCAUGUGUGGGGGUCCGGCACUCAGAGUGGGGGAGGCUGGCUCUGUUUGACUUCCUAUUACAGGUGAGCGACCGUCUGGACAGGUACUGCUGUGGGUUUACACCUGAUCCAACAGACCUCUGUGUGGAGAACCUGCUGCACAGCAAGUGUGGCAAAAGCAAGGACCUGCUGCUGGUUCACAUCCUGGUGAGGAAGGCGGAUCCCAGCAGACUGGUGUUCAUAGACAACGCUGGUAGACCACAGCAGCCCAGUGACAACCUGAACUUCAGGCUGCUUGAGGGCAUUGAGGAGUUUCCAGAGAGAGCUGUGUCAGUGCUGCGCUCAGGCUGUCUGGAGACUCUUCUUCUGCGCUCCCUCUACACAGACAAGGAAUUCUGGGACAGCCGUGGGGGGGCCAUCGGUCUCAGGCCUCUGGUCCACAUCGUGGAGCAGAGGGGGCAGAUCCUCCUCCAGCACAUCAGGACCAAAAGGCUCCGCCUCCUGAGGGAACUGUGAUGCGGUCCAGACGGGCUCCUCCUCCUCCUCCUCCGAUGGGUUUUACUGCCAGAAAGGGUCAGAGGAGGUUUCUGAUGUUUUAAUGUUGAGGUUCAGCUCCAGCUCACAGGACUGAGAAGUGGCUGCACCUUUCUAGAUGAAAACCACCAGGUGCUUCACAAGCAAAAUGAAAAACACACAAAAACACAACUGUGUUGAACAUUCUGUUCAGCCACGGGCUUUUUGUCAGACUCUGAACCCGGAGAAGGCUGCAGCUGCAGAGCAGCAGGUGGAGCCAUCAGUAACGCCAACCUGGAGGUGAAACACCGAAACUGGAUUUAUGUCGGUUACCAACGUCGUCCAGCCCAUCUCAAUGUAUCAGGGUUGGAGAAGGAUUGUUUAGCUUGUUCAUGCUCCUUUAACCCUCUCCGGCGCUAAAAAAGUCCUUCAGGGGAACUUCUGAGGUAACAAAUGCUCAGAAACACGUGUGUGGAGUAACCAGGUAGGUAGGUUUUAACCUGCCUGCCUCCAGAGGGUUAAGGUGCUGUUCUACAUGCUGGAUGACACACACGCACCGCACACACACACAGCUGAUGACCUACUGCUAGCCCGCGGUGGGCUCCAGCAGCUGCAGCUGCAGGUGAGACGCUGGAACAGACCUGACUACAAAUACAAACCAACUGUGAUUUACAGAAAUGCUCAUAAUGUGGGUCCUAACCAUGGAUCCAUCAGUAACCACGGUUUCAGCUUUAAGCGCCGACCUCUGACCCUGGACACCACGGUGACUCGCUGCUGGACCCUAACCCUGGGUACUAAAAGAUUCUCAGCUGAAGGAAUUAUUAAAACCAGUUGGUUCUGAUGCUCAUGCAGACCCGGGCCGUUCCACAGGAACCAGAACUGAAGGAAACUCUUCCCCAGGUUUUAGUGGGCCGACACCAGUUUAUGGAUUAUGUUGUGCUGAUGUCCUUCGGGCUCAAGCUGGGAUUACAGGUUCAACAGCUGUGGUUCUGGUGUAUCAGAUUUAGUCUCAGGACUCAGAGUCCUCAUCCUAGAAUCCAGCAGGUGGUGUCAACAGCGGGAAGGAAGCGGUCGUCCUGACCGGUAAACGCAGAGCAGCAAGCUGAGAGCAAUGUUUGGGUAAAGUAGCGAGUUCAUACCUGCUGCUGUUCGGUGACAACCACCCACAACUCCCAUAAAUUAAACGGAUCUGACUAGACUGGCCUCUGCCUCGCACCAGUCCUCACGCUUUGGCAUGGUGCCAUCUGCUGGAGGGUCACCAGCAGCCACCCAGGGCUCAGAGAAGAAGCUCACCCUCCCUUCACGUCCUAAAUAAAUGACUAAUAAGUAUAAUAACAUGUCUCUCAGCUGAGGUGCCGACUGUGGGGUGAUGCGUGCACCCUCGGGACGGACAGGUCAGAGGUCAGGGCAAGUGGAGGGGCAGACAGGUCAGAUGAACUAUUGUAUUUUACCUCACGGCCCUUCACAUGAGCCUGCUUAUCGGUGCACCAGGUUCUUCUCCUCCUACUGAGCGUAGGUCUGACAGUAUCGUGUAAAUCUGUCUAGAUCAGGCGCGUCCAAAACUGUAAAGUUUAGUUUCACGGACCACAAGAACGUGAUUUUAUUAGAAUUUUUUAUUUUAAUCCUGUAC